rnacentral:rRNA from 1 species
UACGUAGGGGGCAAGCGUUGUCCGGAAUCAUUGGGCGUAAAGCGCGUGUAGGCGGCUCGGUAAGUCCGCUCUGAAAGUCCAGGGCUCAACCCUGGGAUGCGGGUGGAUACUGCCGGGCUCGAGUCCGGAAGAGGCGAGUGGAAUUCCCGGUGUAGCGGUGAAAUGCGCAGAUAUCGGGAAGAACACCCGUGGCGAAGGCGGUUCUCUGGGACGGUACUGACGCUGAGACGCGAAAGCGUGGGGAGCGAACAGG